UUCAAACAGCUUGAACGUCAGCACCACCUCCGGCCAUAGAUCUGACAAGAAUGGUUCAUGGUUGAACGAUCUUCUUCGGGAUGUCGAUUAUUUCUUUGAGCUGCUCUAUAAAAGGAAGACAAUGGCAUCUUUACUUUCCGAGUAAAUGCUCGAACGUCAGCACCAUCUCCGGCCAUCGAUGUAAUAGAAAUGGUUGAACGAUCUUCUUCGCGAUAUCGAUAAUUUCGUUGAGCUGCUUUAUUAAAGGAAAACAAUGGUUCUGCUGCUUCUGCUCAAGUCAUCGCCUAUUCGCUUAUGCUGAAUGAAAGUCGAUGCCUGUUUUAUCAUGUUCAGCGAACGCUUUGUUUAAUUUGAUACGAUGAGCAUGAAUUCGCCAGCGAAAUUUUCAACGUAUGAUGUGAAACCUGACGAAUGAUCGACGAAGAAUUAAUUGGUUAUACCUAUUGUGGGAAUAAUAACUUCGAUGUACAUUAGAUGAGAUUGAGAAUACUGUUUGUGCUCCGGCGAUGGAAUCACAGCAACAUAUAGGUGUUUGUAUUCUCCCGAAGAGCGCCAAACCUGCACAAGUGUAUAAAAAGAAUAAGCUAUCAUCUACAGUGGAUCGUCUCCAUGCUUGCUGUCGAAUGGAAAUCGUGUCAUGCUGCCUUUUCAUUAUCUUCUUCGCCGCCGUACUGAAAUGAAAAUCGUGUACACAGACGUACUUUCGGCCAAAACGAGGUUUGAUGCUGUCUCUGCCGCUGUCCCUCACUCAUUCAGCGUAGUGAUCAUUCUCAUCAUCGGUUUCUUCGCGCCGAAAUUUUCACAAUUCUGUUCGUAAGUCGUCUAUUGCUUACUCGAAAACCGUCCAGUUAUUUUAUCUGUGAUUUUAGUCGCUGGAAUAACAAUAAGCCUAUACCUACUGAGAGAAAAGGUUGCAUCGUUGAGCUUUUGAAUUUUUGAAAUUUUGGUUCAUUUCGAGCAUUUUUUUUUUCUGCUACGAAUUGCGAAAUAAUUAAGGUAUCAGAAAGAGAUGUUGAGCAAAACUCAUUGUUCAGUAAAGAUUCGAAAUAAUGUGCUUGUUUGAAUACUUAGUAAAACGAAUAAUGAAUCGAAAAUAUCGCAGAUUUGGUGCACAUUUAGGCCUCGUCCCCCCCCCCCCACUCUACUUUUCGGAACCCUUGCUAUACUAUUAAUAAUUAUUUGUAGUGUUAUCGAUGAGUUUGAGAUGUUUAAUAAUAAGUUGGUAAUUUUACCUCCCCCCUCCCCCCCUUACUCGAAUUACUCGUUUCGCGUGUAACUUGCGGCUUUGUCUUUUUGAAAUUUCGUUAAAAUUCGAUCGUUUUUGUUUUCUUGGUUUGAUUGUACUACCUAUUCAGUAGAUUCAGUCUCAAAAUUAGCUUUGUGGUUUGUUUAUUAAUUCGCGUUGACGUUACUAGAAUAUCAUACGAUGAUUCGAUAAUUUCGACCCUUUUACCCACCCCCUCCCUCUCUCCCUCCCUCAUUGCUUGUUCGCGUGUAAUUUGGGUUUUUGUUUUUUUUCCUCAAAAUUUCGUCAAAAUUCUAUCGCUUUUGGUUUCUAACGAUUUGAUCGGUAUUGGGCUAGUUUGGUGCGAGUUAAAUUACAACACGAUGUCCUAAUAGUUGCGGAUCAUAAACUUUUCAUCUCGAGGGUGUUUAGUUGUUGGUGUAUAGAGUGCCGGUGGAGAGUUUAUUUGUAUGCAGAUAGAGACGUUUUGAGGAGUGAGCUGGUGGCGAGUGUUGUAUGUAUUAUAGGGAUAUAGGGAAUGCGGUUGUGGCUGCUCUUGUUAAGUUGCUGUCCGUCCUUGCCUGUUAAGCAUCAACCCACAACCGUACUUUUUCCACUCGUUCACGUCAACCUGGCGUUCGUGAUCCCUUGAAAAUUUCUUACUUUCUGAUAGCAUGGCGCCUACCUUAGCCAUAGUACGUAGUUCUGCACUCGCGUAUCCACGUACGUACUCGCGCGGCGUGCGGUGGAGUCCACUGUAUUCGGUUGGUACGGAGCUGAUCAGCUGGAUUUCAUGCAGCAUCUACAAAGUCAGUAAGUCGAAACGCAUCCACGGUUCACGGGCUCUCGCUCAGGUUCCGUCUUGAUGGUCAUCAAAGCCGUAUGGUGUUGGGGGAGCGUCAUUCGGCGACUUGUCUGCUAUCGUGCUUCGGCGCAGCGGCCUGCUCAAUGGUGGCGUAGUCCUCUGGCUCACUCCUGCGACGCUCAGUGGGGUCGUCACUUACGGCGGCUUCGACUGUAUACCCAAGUCAUAAUAAGGAGUUGUCGUAAGAGGUUACGACUCAUACGGUGGAAACGUUUGCGUUCCAUCUAGUGGUGCGAGCCGUUGUCCUGUGACCAGCUCAAUCUGCGAACCUCACUUCCGGGCUGAUAAAGAUGUGAGCGGGGAUGGUUAAUGUCAGCCUAACCUGCGUAACGAUAUUGCCAUUUGCCUGCCGUCUACUAUCAGUCCUGCCUUUAUUGCGGAUCCUCAGAGAUUCUUCUCUCCGAUCCAACCCACACGCAGUAAGUGGUGCACUCUAGGUUUUGCAUACACUUGCUCGCGUGAGAAUGAGUUCUGUUUGAGAGAGAAAUGUCAAAGGCUGAUCUGGUCUCGUUGCUUCGGUCAACAUUGCCAGGCAGGUGAGCGUGUGUGUAGCGAGUAUGGUGAUCUGGACUGUGUACGAUGUCUGGUUGUAAUUAGAUUUGUGUUCUUUAAAAAAAUUAAAAAUGGAAAAAAUCACCAAGUUUGGAUGAAAUUGUAAAUAAACGAAAGGUAAUUAGUCGAAAUUUUAAAGAUGGGCUGCAUUAUUUGAAAAUUGUCGAAGUUCGUGGAGUGUAAUGAUCGUGUUGAAAAGAAAAAGAUCGUUGGAAAUGACGUAAUUCCAUAAUUUGACUAAAUUCGCGUAAUAUAUAGUAAUAAUCUCAUACUGAAAUAUUUGAAGAAUCGAUAUUUCAAUUAUUAUUCCCUAUCUUCAAGUUCCCCCUCCCCCUCCCCCCUUUCCAUCCUAAUUCAUUUUUUAAUAAAUUAUUGAAAUUUUAUUGUCAUGUUUGUUUUUGAAAAAUAAGUUUGUAGUUUUAUGACCUUUGUUGUGAGAUUAUCAUGUACUUAAUUAGUGUUGAUGUAUUUGGUGUUCAAUG